GCAGUGCUGCGUGUUGCCGAAAACGCGAUGGUUGCCCAAAAACUCAAAUGGACCAAAGUUCAGUCGCAAUAAAAGCAGUGGUCGAGCGUGUGGUUGACUUUCACCGGCAAAAUCGCAGAGAGGAUGUGUUUAAAGAGCGAUGGAGAGGAGAGAUGGAGAGAUGUUCUCUGUGGACUGAUGCUGAAGGGUUUUACACCGGCUGCUGGAUUAUAUACAGCAUCAAUCUGCCUCUCUGGACACUAACCGGCCGUUUCUCUUACGCCGACCUCGCAGGACGUCAGGGGAAAGAGUCAUUGAAGUGACAUGAACAUCUGUAACAUGUGAGACAGACCACACACACACACAUCGAUUAAUAUUGACAGAGCUCCUUUCAAUGAUCUAUUCAAUUGACCUCAAGUGCAUGUGACUUUUCAUCUCUAUUGCUCAAAAGAUGUGACGGAGACAGCGGGACAUGCUCUUCUCUUCAUAAAGCAUGAUGUCAUGUUGUCAUGAUGCAAAAUCAAUGAUCCAGACUUAUAUAUCCCUCUGCUUUCAAAUAUACACAAUCUCCUUCCAAUGGAACUGAAAUGAAAACUCUUAUAGACCCCUUCAUCAGACCCGUGCGCUGGACCCCAGAACAUCCCGUUUGUGUUUGGCUAUUGUCUUAUUAUAGAACUAUUUAUAUUUUAUUUUUGUUUAUAUUUCAUUUAAAUUAUUAUUUUAUUGUAUAAUAAUUGUAUUAAAUAAAUUAUUUGUUGAAUUUU